rnacentral:rRNA from 1 species
UAAGGAAUAUUGGACAAUGGUCGCAAGACUGAUCCAGCCAUGCCGCGUGCAGGAAGACGGCCCUAUGGGUUGUAAACUGCUUUUGUACCAGAGAAAACCUAUCUACGUGUAGAUAGCUGAUAGUAUGGUAAGAAUAAGCAUCGGCUAACUUCGUGCCAGCAGCCGCGGUAAGACGAAGGAUGCAAGCGUUAUCCGGAUUCAUUGGGUUUAAAGGGUGCGUAGGCGGGCUUGUAAGUCAGUGGUGAAAUCUCUCAGCUUAACUGAGAAACUGCCAUUGNUACUGCAGGCCUAGAGUAUAGAUGACGUUGGCGGAAUAUCACAUGUAGUGGUGAAAUACUUAGAUAUGUCAUAGAACACCGAUUGCGAAGGCAGCUAACGAAACUAUAACUGACGCUGAGGCACGAAAGUGCGGGGAUCAAACA